GAGAUGGUGUUUUGCCACGUUGCCCAGGUCUUGAACUCCUGGGCUCAAGCGAUCCACCUGUCUAGUCCUCCCAAAGCUCUAGAAUCACAGGUGUGAGCCACUGUGCUCAGCCCAUUUACAUUCUUGAUCAAAUAAUCUCCACUCUUCUCUUAAGAUCCUGGGAACACUACAUGGGUCCCAUGAUGAUGUUUGGGACUUGCAGACUAAAUGAGACCGCCAAUUUAAUGCAUCUAUUAAUAUUAGUCAAGUUAAACGUCUUAAUUUUUGAUAAAACUAAAUGUAAGUGGAAGUUUUAGCAUUUUCUCCAGCACUCCAAUGGAUCAGCGCUGGACAUUCUGUUUGGGAGACCACUGAUCUAGAUCAAGGGCUGUUGGAAGGGCUGUGAAAUUCUUUAAUACUUAAAAAAUUAUUUAAUUUAAAAAAUUGACAGAUAACAUGAUGUUUUCAAAUAUGUCUACCUUGUGGAAUGGGAAAGUCAAGCUAAUUAACAUAUGCAUUACUUCGCAUAAAUCCUUUGAUACUUUUUAUUAGAUUCUGCCAUAUUGCUUACUAUAGCUUUGGGAAACACAGGGGCGAUAUGGAUGGAUCACCAUUGUACAGUCAAAGAAACUCACAGGAAGGCACCCUGGUCACUUCCAAGAUUGUGGACUACUGGGGCCAUCUCUGUUUUAUUACCUCUAAUCACUAAGUGAGUCUUUGCCCCAUUUUCUUAAGGCUGUGUUGUUCUUUUAGACUGGCUACAGUGGGGCUUCCAAAGAUAAGACAGAAUAUCCCAUAGCAAACAAGCUGUCAAGUUGGCCAGGGUGAUUUGUUAGGAUUUCUUUUUUGGCCAAUUAAAAAAUAGCUGUCAAAAGCACUACUUUGUAGGACUCAUUAAGGUAAUGUUCAAAUUGUCUCUAAUGGUUCUUUGACCAUGAUUAAGCAAAACAAAUAACACAAAACAAAAAUCUUCCUAUUUCCCAGAGUCCUGGGUUUAUCACAAAUGCUAUUAAGGUUACGAGUUUUGUCCUUUGAUAAAAGAAGAACCACGUUUGGAAAUUGUCAUUACCCUUUAUUUUUCAACACACACACACACACACACACACACACACACACUCCUACAUUGGUUUGUUUCUGAGCGAUGUGUAAGGGAAUUAAAAAAAUCCUUUGGUAAAUACAUAUGCUAGUGUAAAUGGGUAGAAGUUAUUAGUUUUAAACACUUCAUAUAGUAUGGAGUGCAAGUAACAAGGCUCCCAGCUGAAAUGAUUAAAAAGUGAUAUUGUAGAAAAAGGUGUGGUCCCAGACUUCCUGUACCAGUGUUACUUGUUGAGAUUGUUCUGAAUCUGCCUAUUCUCAGGUUCCUCCUCCAGGAUACUGACAUAGCAACAACACGGAUUUUUCAGGCGAUUCUUAGGAACAAUGGAGUUUGAGCACCAUUUGGUCUAGGCUGUGUGUCAAUAAAGGUAUCAACUCAAGCGUGUACACACUGCAGUCUGCUGUACUGGAAAUGACUUAUUUAUUCUACGUUCAUUCACAGCUUCUGUUUAUGGCAUAAUACCUUCUGAGAGUAGGCCAUUAUGACAACAAUGCCUCUGUUUCCUCCAGAUUCUUGGCUGUCACUAUCCUGACCUACCACCUGUGUCACAUCCCAUUAGGUUCUGUGGAUGAGGCAUGGUGCUUGGCACAGACUGACACAAGUUUGGGCAAACUUGGCAGAGCAGCCUAACCCAAAGCGAAAAACAGAAAUGAACCAAGAUACAACCUCUGUGGAAAACCCUACUGAACAAAAGCAACUCUGUGGAGUGUCCUCUCAGCUGCAAAUUGAGACAGAAUUGUGGGGCAAGCUUGGCCACUGAUGCAGAUUCUGCAGCUUGCUACACAGAAAGCCAGAGACCGAGAGCCAAUGACUGAGACUAUGAGUAUUGCCAAGGAAGAAGGCUUUAAUCGGGUGCUGCAGCUGAAAAGAUGAGAGCUCAGCCUCAAAUCCAUCUCCCUGACCAACUAAAGCUAAGGAUUUAUAUAGCAGGGAAGAAGACAGGAACUAGGAAGGGGCAAGGAAGCGAUCCUGAUGAAUGAAGGGUCAGGCAUUUCAUUGUCUGGAUGUGGCGAUCUGGGAGAGAAGAGAGGAAGGCAGAGAAGGCCUGAACAAGCCUGGCUGGGGAGGGCUCCCAGAGUCCUUGUGACAGAGAUGACUCUACCCACACUUGGGAGACUGAUGUGUCAGGAAAGCAUGCACAGGUAAGUGAGAUGCUAGGUCAACGAAUCAGCAAAGAGAGUCGGAAGGGAAUCUAGGAGUUGAUGUGGAAAGCCAUGGUGUCAAACCAGAGAUUACGGCCUGGGCUCAGAGUGUCUGGAGGGUGAGAGGGCAGUGCUGGCCAACUACACAGACCAGGCAUUGGAGCCAGUGAUGGCCUAGGUGUGCUGGCUGCAGCCCAGCUCAGGGCUCAGGGGAAGCUGGCUGCAUUUAAAGGACUGAGGCACUGCAAAAUGUUACACCCCUAAACUGUGGAGAUAUUGGCCAAAGCUCCUUUCAGGAGUGGCAAGAGCUGUGUGUCUGAACCAGUCCUAGUACUGGCCGUGAUCCUGACAACGUGUUCACGUGUGCUCUUAAGUUAAACCAAUCUACAGAGGUCAUCCGGAGUGUUGGCUUCAUUCCCUCCUUACCCCACACAAUCCCCCUAACGCUUUGCAGAAUAGAGACCUCUCAAAUACUGUAAAAAGAGGUAUGUGAAUUUGGGUUAGCCCAAUUGGUUUUGUGGUUUCUGUUUGGUUGGGCUGUCAAGAAUUUGUUCUGUUGGGUGUGGUUGGGUGACAGAGUUGUUAGUUAACCAGACCUGAGAAGAGGAGGGAGCCAUGUACAACCUGCCUAGCACUAGUAGUUGGCAUUAAACCCUAGAGAGGUUCCCAUUUCUCUCAAGUGGAGUCUUAUUAGGUACAUCUCUCCAUCCCCCCUACUCCACCUCCUUGAAUACAGAAUAAAGGUACACAUUUAUAGGCUCCCAGAGGGCAGGGACCAUGUGAUGUAAUCCUUUAUAUCCAGUGUUAGAUACUGUCUAAUAUGGUAGCCUCUAACCCCUUCAGAAAGAGCUACCCUGAAUUGAGAUGUGCUGAAUUUUGAAGACUCAACAUGGAAAAAAUAAUGCAAAACAUCUUAUCAGCAUGUUCUUACAUUAAUUAUGUUGGAAUAAUAUUUUGGUUAAGGGAAACAUAUUAUUAAAAGUAAUUUCUUCAGUUUCCGUUUACUUUUUUUAAUGUGGCUACUCAAAAAUUUAAAACUCCAUACGAGGCAUGAAUCUUCUGAUAGGUAGCACUGUUUAAUACCUUCUCUGGUGGCAAAUCCAAAACACAGAUCUUAUAUAAUUUGGAUAAUAAACCCCCUUCAGUCACCAGUGAGCCCACACUGAUAAAAGAAAGAAACUGAUCGCAGAGCCGCCGAGAUCCCAACCCA
rnacentral:lncRNA from 1 species